GGGGUUGUAGAGAAUCUCGUAGACGUAGUAGUAGGAAUUUGCCGUUUUUCCCUUAAAUUCAGUCCAAGCUAACCAACCAAACAGUAUAUCCCGUCCACGCGCUCCUACAGCACGUGUUCCUAACCGCUAGUUCCCUGUAUGACGGUAACCCAGUAUACUUCUUGACCCUGUCAUCUCUGGGCCCCUUACUCUCACCAAAUCCAACGGCAGAGAUCUCUCCUCUGCAUCAUCCUAGGGUUUUCUCUUGAUCCAAACCCUUACUUCCUUUAUAUCCUUCUUUCAGCCCUCUAAUUCUCUUUCCUUUUCAGUGCCGUUCCAUCCCCUCUUCCUCCCUUAUCACACUCUCUGUUACUUCUUCACGCGCUGCCAGUCCCUUGGCGGCCAAAGUCACCGUUUCCUUCUCCGCCUUCCCUCUCCUCCUCUAUCAAAAACCCAAAAACACCAAAAAAAGAAAGGGCAAAAGACGAAAUAAAAACAACAGUAUCUCGGUUAGUCAUUGUAUCGAACAUUUGCUGUGCGCUUUUAUCACUUUUUCUUUGUUUAAGCUAGGGUUUGGUUUAGCAUAGACAGAUAGAGUUAGGGUUUGUUGUUUUGUUUUAUUAGAAUAAACAGAGGAGGGGGAAGAUAAAUUGAAAAAAAGUUAAAAAAAAAUUGAAUAGAAAUUUUUCAAGAAAAAAAGAAAGGGAGAAAUGGCACAGGUUCAAGUCCCGGUUCAGGCUCAGGGUGUCAACGGCGGAGCAAACCAGCAGUUCGUGCCGACGUCUCUUUACGUCGGGGAUCUGGAUGCGAACGUGACCAAUUCGCUUCUGUACGAUCUGUUUAAUCAAGUCGGGCAAGUGGUUUCAGUUCGGGUUUGCAGUGACUUGACUACCGGACGAUCGCUUGGUUAUGGCUACGUUAACUAUAGCAAUCCUCAAGAUGCUGCAAGGGCAUUGGAUAUGCUAAAUUUCACUCUUCUCAAUGGAAGCCCCAUUAGAAUCAUGUAUUCUCAUCGUGACCCAAGUAUUCGCAAAAGUGGGUCUGGGAACAUAUUUAUCAAGAAUUUAGACAAGGCGAUUGACCACAAAGCAUUGCAUGAUACUUUCUCGGUAUUUGGGAACAUUCUAUCUUGCAAGGUGGCUACAGAUUCCUCUGGCAAGUCAAAGGGCUAUGGCUUUGUACAGUUUGACAAUGAGGAAGCUGCCCAAAUGGCUAUAGAGAAGUUAAAUGGUAUGCUAUUGAAUGAUAAGCAGGUGUAUGUUGGACCUUUUCUUCGCAAACAGGAAAGAGAGAGUGCAAUUGACAAGACAAGAUUUAACAAUGUCUUUGUAAAGAAUCUCUCAGAAGCAAUAACUGAUGAUGAUUUGAAGAAAAUUUUUGGUGAAUUUGGAACAAUCACUAGUGCUGUGCUGAUGAGGGAUGGAGAUGGAAAAACAAAGUGCUUUGGAUUUGUCAACUUCGAGAAUGCAGAUGAUGCUGCUAGAGCUGUUGAGGCCCUUAAUGGAAAGAAAUUUGAUGAAAAGGAGUGGUAUGUUGGGAAAGCCCAGAAGAAAUCUGAAAGGGAAACUGAAUUAAAACUUCGUUUUGAGCAGAGUAUGAAGGAGGCGGCUGAUAAAUUUCAAGGGGCCAAUUUGUACAUUAAAAAUCUAGAUGAUAGCAUAGGUGAUGAUAAUCUUAAGGAGCUCUUCUCUCAAUUUGGUACAAUCACAUCAUGCAAGGUUAUGCGAGAUCCUAAUGGAAUAAGCAGAGGUUCAGGGUUUGUUGCGUUCUCUACUCCAGAUGAGGCGUCUAGAGCUCUCAUGGAGAUGAAUGGCAAAAUGGUUGCAAGCAAACCUUUAUACGUUGCACUUGCACAAAGAAAGGAAGAUAGAAGAGCCAGGUUGCAGGCUCAAUUUUCUCAAAUGAGGCCAGUUGCAAUGCCACCAUCAGUUGCUCCUCGUAUGCCAAUGUACCCCCCUGGUGGUCCAGGACUUGGACAACAGAUAUUCUAUGGACAAGCCCCACCUGCUAUCAUACCUCCUCAGCCUGGAUUUGGAUAUCAGCAACAGCUUGUACCUGGUAUGAGGCCUGGUGGGGCUCCUAUGCCAAAUUUCUUUGUGCCAAUGGUUCAGCAGGGGCAGCAGGGACAGCGCCCUGGUGGUCGACGGGCUGGAGCUGCCCAGCAAUCCCAGCAGCCAAUGCCACUAAUGCAGCAGCAGAUGCUUCCAAGGGGGCGUGUCUAUCGCUACCCUCCUGGGCGUGGCUUGCCUGAUGUUCCAAUGACCGGUGUUCCUGGAGGGAUGCUUUCUGUUCCAUAUGACAUGGGUGGUAUGCCAUUGCGUGAUACGGCUUUGUCUCAGCCAAUUCCAAUUGGUGCUUUGGCUACUGCACUUGCAAAUGCUACUCCGGAACAUCAGAGGACGAUGCUGGGUGAGAAUCUUUACCCUCUGGUAGAACAGCUGGAGCCUGAUGCAGCAGCUAAGGUGACAGGCAUGCUUCUAGAGAUGGACCAGACUGAAGUUUUGCACUUGCUCGAGUCACCAGAAGCUCUAAAAGCAAAGGUUGCUGAGGCAAUGGAGGUUCUGAGGAGUGUUCAGCAGCAACAGGCUGGUGGCGCAGCUGAUCAACUAGCCUCUUUGUCAUUGAAUGACAACCUUGUUUCCUAGUUUGAGUUGUGAGCAUGGCCUUUGAAAUAUAUCAUGAUGUGUUCUGAUGCAUUUUAGACUGAUUUUCAUAGGAUCUUAGGAAUUGGUUUGGUUUUGGUUUACUCAGAUUUUUCAGGAGAUGUUUUGAACGUGGUUACAUUUAUGCUUUUACUGUUUUAUUUAUGCGAGUGAUGAGCAGUUGUGUUUCUUAUUUUUGUUUGGAAUGACAACAUUGUUUUGCUUGGCGUAAAUCAGUGUGAAUACAUUUGUCAUGCGAUUAAGAAGCUGAAGCAUUUGAAGUAUGCUGAUCGUGUGGUUGAGAGUGAAUACAUUUGUCAUGCGAUUAAGAAGCUGAAGCAUUUGAAGUAUGCUGAUCGUGUGGUUGAGAGUGAAUACAUUUGUCAUGCGAUUAAGAAGCUGAAGCAUUUGAAGUAUGCUGAUCGUGUGGUUGAGA
rnacentral:misc_RNA from 1 species